UACGAGGGGGGCAAGCGUUGUUCGGAUUUAUUGGGCGUAAAGGGUGCGUAGGCGGUUUGACAAGUCUUAUGUGAAAUCUAUGGGCUCAACCCAUAGUCUGCAUAAGAAACUGUUGAGCUUGAGUAUGGGAGAGGUGAGUGGAAUUUCCGGUGUAGCGGUGAAAUGCGUAGAUAUCGGAAGGAACACCUGUGGCGAAAGCGGCUCACUGGACCAUAACUGACGCUGAGGCACGAAAGCUAGGGGAGCAAACAGG
rnacentral:rRNA from 1 species